CAACAGGGAUUGCCUCAGUAACGGCGAGUGAAGCGGCAAGAGCUCAAAUUUGAAAUCUGGAGCCUCCGGCGCCAGAGUUGUAAUUGGGAGAGAUAUCAUGGCGUGAGGCGCCGGCCAAAGUUCCCUGGAAGGGGACGCCGUAGAGGGUGAGAGCCCCGUGCAUGGCCCGGCAGUCCGAUCCUCAAUCAUGAGUCUUCGACGAGUCGAGUUGUUUGGGAAUGCAGCUCAAAAUGGGUGGUAAAUUUCAUCUAAAGCUAAAUACCGGCGGGAGACCGAUAGCGCACAAGUAGAGUGAUCGAAAGAUGAAAAGCACUUUGAAAAGAGAGUUAAACAGUACGUGAAAUUGUUGAAAGGGAAGCGCUUCAGACCGGAGGUGGGCUGUGGGUGAUCUGCGUCCUCGCUCUGCGGGGCCGUGCACUCGCUCACAGCCUGGCCAGCAUCGGUCGCGGUGGCGGGAGGAAGGCCGCGGGAAUGUGGCUCCCCCUCUUGGGGGAGUGUUAUAGCCCGUGGUGAAAUGCCGCCGCAUGCGACCGAGGCUCCGCGCUUUUGCACGGAUGCUGGCGUCGAUGGUCUCGAGCGA
rnacentral:rRNA from 1 species